AGAACGAACGCUGGCGGCAUGCCUAACACAUGCAAGUCGAACGAAGCCUUCGGGCUUAGUGGCGCACGGGUGCGUAACACGUGGGAAUCUGCCCUUAGGUACGGAAUAACUCAGGGAAACUUGAGCUAAUACCGUAUGAUGUCUUCGGGCCAAAGAUUUAUCGCCUAAGGAUGAGCCCGCGUCGGAUUAGCUAGUUGGUGGGUAAAGGCCUACCAAGGCGACGAUCCGUAGCUGGUCUGAGAGGAUGAUCAGCCACACUGGGACUGAGACACGGCCCAGACUCCUACGGGAGCAGCAGUGGGGAAUAUUGGACAAGUGGGCGAAAGCCUGAUCCAGCAAUGCCGCGUGAGUGAACGAAGGCCUUACGGGUUGAAAGCCGUCGUUUUACCCGGGAAG
rnacentral:rRNA from 1 species